GAACGGUAACAGAGAGUAGCUUGCUACUNUGCUGACGAGUGGCGGACGGGUGAGUAAUGUCUGGGGAUCUGCCUGAUGGAGGGGGAUAACUACUGGAAACGGUAGCUAAUACCGCAUAAUGUCGCAAGACCAAAGCGGGGGACUUUCGGGCCUCGCACCAUCAGAUGAACCCAGAUGGGAUUAGCUAGUAGGUAGGGUAAUGGCUUACCUAGGCGACGAUCCCUAGCUGGUCUGAGAGGAUGACCAGCCACACUGGAACUGAGACACGGUCCAGACUCCUACGGGAGGCAGCAGUGGGGAAUAUUGCACAAUGGGCGCAAGCCUGAUGCAGCCAUGCCGCGUGUAUGAAGAAGGCCUUCGGGUUGUAAAGUACUUUCAGUCAGGAGGAAGGGUGUGAAAUUAAUACUUUCAUGCAUUGACGUUACUGACAGAAGAAGCACCGGCUAACUCCGUGCCAGCAGCCGCGGUAAUACGGAGGGUGCAAGCGUUAAUCGGAAUUACUGGGCGUAAAGCGCACGCAGGCGGUUUGUUAAGUCAGAUGUGAAAUCCCCGGGCUCAACCUGGGAACUGCAUUUGAAACUGGCAAGCUUGAGUCU
rnacentral:rRNA from 1 species